GAUGAACGCUAGCGGCAGGCCUAAUACAUGCAAGUCGAACGGUGUCUUCGGACAUAGUGGCGCACGGGUGCGUAACACGUAUGCAACCUACCUUACAUUGGGGGAUAGCCUUUCGAAAGGGAGAUUAAUACCGCAUAAGACAGUAGCUGGGCAUCCAGCAGCUGUUAAAGAUUUAUCGAUGUAAGCUGGGCAUGCGUCCAAUUAGCUAGUUGGUGAGGUAACGGCUCACCCAGGCAAUGAUUGGUAGGGGAACUGAGAGGUCAAUCCCCCACACGGGCACUGGGAUACGGGCCAGACGCCUACGGGAGGCAGCAGUAGGGAAUAUUGGGCAAUGGACUCAAGUCUGACCCAGCCAUGCCGCGUGCAGGAUGAAGGCGUUAUGCGUUGUAAACUGCUUUUAUACAGGAAGAAACGACUCUUGCGAGAGGCAUUGACGGUACUGUAUGAAUAAGCACCGGCUAACUCCGUGCCAGCCGCCGCGGUAACAC
rnacentral:rRNA from 1 species